AUUGUAUCAACGAGGCACUAUAGAGCUCCAGAAGUGAUUUUAGAAUUAGGUUGGGCGCAGCCGUGUGAUGUUUGGUCCAUUGGAUGUAUCAUGUUUGAACUCUACUUGGGUAUCACUUUAUUCCAAACGCAUGAUAACAGGGAA